rnacentral:rRNA from 1 species
AUUUUGGACAAUGGGAGCAACCCUGAUCCAGCCAUCCCGCGUGUGCGAUGAAGGCCUUCGGGUUGUAAAGCACUUUUGGCAGGGAAGAAAAGGCUCUUGCUAAUACCUUGAGCUGUUUACGGUACCUUCAUAAUAACCACCGGCUAACUACGUUGCCGCAGCCGAGGUAAUACGUAGGGUGCAAGCGUUAAUCGGAAUUACUGGGCGUAAAGCGUGCGCAGGCGGUUCGGCAAGAAGGAUGUGAAAUCCCAGGGCUUAACCUUGGAACUGCAUUCUUAACUGCCGGGCUAGAGUAUGUCAGAGGGGGGUAGAAUUCCGCGUGUAGCAGUGAAAUGCGUAGAGAUGCGGAGGAAUACCGAUGGCGAAGGCAGCCCCCUGGGAUAAUACUGACGCUCAUGCACGAAAGCGUGGGGAGCAAA